rnacentral:tRNA from 1 species
AAGGGUAUAAAUUAAUGGUAGAUUAUUUGCCUUCCAAGCAAAUUGUGUGAGUUCAAAUCUCAUUGCCCUUA